rnacentral:lncRNA from 1 species
ACAGGCAUUUCAGUACCAGAAAGUUAAUGGCGCAGAAUACAGCUGACUGCUUGGUUCUCGUCUCCAUGCAUUUUCCAACCUUGAACCUGAGAAUGCUAGAGGCUGGAGACUCUGGACACUCAUCUGAGCAGUUACCUGCUGGUGGCCCGGUUCCUGAGGUAACAAGUGGGUGUCCCGGGCGUGUGUGCACUAACGACAGCCGUGAUGCCGCGUGGUGCCCAGAGGUCACCACCAUCUGUCCUGGGGACUCCUGCUUGGGGCUUCUGAGAUGAACUGUGAACCUGGGGCAUCCUGCAAAGUGCAGGCAUUUUGGAGUGCCACAGCAAAUCCGGGCGUAAGCAUAAACACAGCUUUCAAAGUGAAAGCAGGGGCCUCGAGGAAGGAAUUACCCUCGUCUCAUUCCCGACCUGCUCACUGUGCUGGAAAACAGAGACAAGUCCAGCCUGUGCUUCAGGAUCCUCUGUGUUCUGCCCAGUGGUGCCGAUCUCAUGAACGAAUGCCUCCUGAGGACUUCUGUGUCUGGAAACUAUCUGUCAACAGAUUGCGUUUCCAUCCCUGUAGUCACCAGCUCAGUACCUUCGUUUCUCCCCAAGGGUUUAAAAACUGCAGAGAUCUGCUCGGUGGCUGUGCUUACCAAGUUCUGUCUGCUGAAAAUGCCUUGUCAGACACUCAUGGGAAGAGGCAGAGAUAGACGUAAGACGGCAUAUCCACCUUUGCUCUCCUGCCGCGUGUUGUGAAAAGCAGGCGUCAGGUAUUGUGCAGAAAACCUACUGUAUCCCAUUCUGCUAAGGGAGCCAAACCGGACGGUUGUGUAUGGAGCACGGAUGUGUAUAUGGGGGUGUGAUGUGCGUUUGAGGUGGGAGAUACGUAUGGUUUUAUCAGACGUAAGUAAAAGUAAGACAUUCAUGCUUUAGGGAAGAUUGUCCCCAUACCUCAAGUGUCAGUCAUUUGAAAAACACUUCUACCUGGUAGUAGGCAAAUGCUGUGACUGGUCAUUUUGUUAAAUAAACAAAUAAAUAAAUAAAUAAGCA